CCAUUAAUUUGUGCUCUGGGAAUAAAGCUCUUUACUAUGAAAACAGGCAGUCUGAAAAACAAAAACAUGUCCAUAAAUCAUGAAAGCAGAACAUUUGUAGCUGUAUGACAGAACUGCUCACCACACAGUUUCUUUUUGUCCUGGACUAGACCCUAGUCUAGAUCACCAUGUGAAAUCUCUGAAGAAUAUUUUCUGUCCCAGGUCCCCCUGACCUACUUCAGGAGUCUGACAUCUCCUGUUCUCUUCAACCCCAACUUUCCACAAACCUGGGGAGGAUUUGAUCAUCAGUCAUAUUGCUGCUGAUUACAGAUUUUUGGAAUGCCUCUCUUGUGUGUUUCUUUACUCAAGAUUAUGCAUUUUCAAUGCUUUUAUUCCAACUGUGGAAUAGGAUUGGAUUUACUUUUCUUCAAAACAAAUGUGGUGUCAACCUAAAGGAGGAGGAAAACAGGUAAUGGAGGAACAAAUACAAUUCUCUCCUCUUCUGGAGUGGAGUUCUUCCCACCUUCCUGAAGCUUUGGCACCAAACCAUUUCAUGGCCCCAAUGCCUCAACUUCCAGUCCAAGGGAUUUCUGCAAGACACCUUCCAGAAGCUUCAGUUGUUACCCUCAUGGAGGUGGACAGGAAAGCAAAAAAGGGACAGCCAGGAGUUAUGAUCAAGUGCUUCCCAUGUAAAAAGGCUGCAACCUACAACCUGCACAACUGUCUGUGGCAGUCCUGCUUUGGACACAAAGAUAUGAACAAGGUAAAGUUCCUGCCCUCAAGAGAUUCAGAGUCCAGGGCCUAGAGAGGACUUAAAUGGCAGCUGGAAGAAGUGAAAGAUUCUUUUCAGCAGAGGGGUUGUGGCAUUUGAGUGGGACGUUAAGGUGGAUGAAGUACUGGGACACAGAAUAUGAGUACAAGGGAUGGUCUUUAAAAAAGAACACAGUGUGACAAAUCAUAAGGGGGCUAGAUUAGAUGACUGUGUAGGGACACAAAGGGUACGUGAAAGAAAGUAGUAAGAAAUAAGGUGGAGACAGGUUGAAAUCUUACCUUCAGCCCAGUGAAACCAAUUUUCAACUUCUUACAGAACUGUACAAUAAUAAAUUUGUGGUUCUAAACCA
rnacentral:lncRNA from 12 species